UCCGGUUUAACACCGGCAGUCUCCGUAGAGUGCCCAACUGAAUGAUGGCAACUAAGGAUAAGGGUUGCGCUCGUUAAGGGACUUAACCCGACAUCUCACGAUACGAGCUGACGACAGCCAUGCAGCACCUGUCUCCCGGCCCCCGAAGGGGAGCGCCUAUCUCUAGGCACGUCCGGGGAUGUCAAACCCAGGUAAGGUUCUUCGCGUUGCAUCGAAUUAAACCACAUGCUCCACCGCUUGUGCGGGCCCCCGUCAAUUCCUUUGAGUUUUAACCUUGCGGCCGUACUUCCCAGGCGGGGUACUUAAUGCGUUAGCGUCGACACUGUGGGGGUCAAUUCCCACAACAUCUAGUACCCAUCGUUUACAGCAUGGACUAC
rnacentral:misc_RNA from 1 species